GUCUCAGAAUCUGCACAUCAAUGACUGAGAUUCCUGACAGAUGGUGACACUGAACGAACUGGGUGUUUUCACACCUUUUUACCAUAAGAGAAAUUUUUUCUCCAUGGUAACUGCACUGUAUUUGCCUUCUAGCAGUUGAAAUAUGUGACAAAAAUAUUGUAAUUAUAUGUA